GACUUGCCCUCAAACAUGACGAUUCAGGCUCAUCCAUUAAUCAAUCGGUUCCAUUCCAAUUUAUGUCCAGGUGCAGGUUUUAUUUGUGGUCAUUACUCCUGUUCUCAUACGCUCCUCUCGCUCCUCUUGAUGAAGACAUAAAUCAGUGUGUAUUGUUGGUAUUCAAGGGAUUGCUUGGGCUUUUGGGGGUAUGAUCUUUGCCCUUGUCUACUGCACUGCUGGUAU